UAGCCUAACGGCUGAACCAGCAACUUGGAAGAAGGUAUAGCAAUAGCUAAUUGUAUUAGCAAAUAGUUUUUACAAUAUCGAUUUAAUCGACUAAAAUUCUAGGUAGAUUUAUGAUGAUGACAUUAUCUAUCUAUGUGUCUUGACCAAAUUUCGUGCCAGCAGUCGCGGUAAGACGUAAGAGACUAGUGUUAUUCAUCUUUAAUAGGUUUAAAGCGUACCUAGACGGUAAUUAAAGCCUAUAUCAGGAACUUGUUUACUAGAGUUAAAUGUAAGGGUGUAUUAAAGUACUGUUGAGUGUAGAGAUGAAAUUCGUUGAUACCAAAUAAUUGGCACAGGUAUAGGCGAAAGCAUCACUUUAUGUAAUAACUGACGUUGACGGACGAAGGCUUUGUGUCGCGAACAGGAUUAGAUACCCCAGUAGUCUUAGCAGAAAACUAUGAGUGUCAUAGGUUAGAUUUUAUUUGGUCUAUAAAUGAAAGUGUAAGCACUCCACCUCAAGAGUAAUUUGGCAACAUUGGAACUGAAAUCAUUAGACCGUUUCUGAAACCAGUAGUGAAGUAUGUUGUUUAAUUUGAUAAUCCGCAAAGAACCUUACCACAAUUUGAAUAUAAAUGAUUUAUUUUUACAAGCGUUGCACGGCUGUCUUCAGUUAAUGUCGUGAGAUAUUGGUUUAUUCCAUUAAAUUAACGUAAACCCGUACUUUAUUUUUAUAUAAAGUUGUUCAUUCGCUAUAAUGGAUGUGAUAACAGG
rnacentral:rRNA from 1 species